rnacentral:rRNA from 1 species
UACGGAGGUGGCAAGCGUUGCUCGGAAUCACUGGGCGUAAAGGGCGCGUAGGCGGGGAUGUAAGUCGGGUGUGAAAUCCCUCGGCCCAACUGAGGAACUGCGCCCGAGACUGCUUCUCUUGAGUCCCGGAGAGGAAGGUGGAAUUCCCGGUGUAGCGGUGAAAUGCGUAGAGAUCGGGAGGAACACCAGUGGCGAAGGCGGCAUUCUGGGCGGCGACUGACGCUGAGACGCGAAAGCAUGGGUAGCGAACGGG